UACGUAGGUGUCGAGCGUUGUCCGGAUUUAUUGGGCGUAAAGAGCCCGCAGGCGGCUUGGCAAGUUUGAGGUGAAAUCUCCCGGCUUAACUGGGAGGGGGCCUCGAAAACUGCCAGGCUUGAGGCAUGGAGAGGGACGCGGAAUUCCCGGUGUAGUGGUGAAAUGCGUAGAUAUCGGGAGGAACACCAGUGGCGAAGGCGGCAUCCUGGCCAUGUCCUGACGCUCAGGGGCGAAAGCGUGGGGAGCAAACCGG
rnacentral:rRNA from 1 species